rnacentral:rRNA from 1 species
CCUACGGGAGGCAGCAGUAGGGAAUCUUCCACAAUGGACGAAAGUCUGAUGGAGCAACGCCGCGUGAGUGAAGAAGGGUUUCGGCUCGUAAAGCUCUGUUGGUAGUGAAGAAAGAUAGAGGUAGUAACUGGCCUUUAUUUGACUGUAAUUACUUAGAAAGUCACGGCUAACUACGUGCCAGCAGCCGCGGUAAUACGAAGGUGGCAAGCGUUGUCCGGAUUUAUUGGGCGUAAAGCGAGUGCAGGCGGUUCAAUAAGUCUGAUGUGAAAGCCUUCGGCUCAACCGGAGAAUUGCAUCAGAAACUGUUGAACUGGAGUGCAGAAGAGGAGAGUGGAACUCCAUGUGUAGCGGUGGAAUGUGUAGAUAUAUGGAAGAACACCAGUGGCGAAGGCGGCUCUCUGGUCUGCAACUGACGCUGAGGCUCGAAAGCAUGGGUAGCGAACAGGAUUAGAUACCCCAGUAGUC